rnacentral:rRNA from 1 species
ACUCAAAUGAAUUGACGGGGGCCCGCACAAGCGGUGGAACAUGUGGUUUAAUUCGAUGCAACGCGAAGAACCUUACCUGGGCUUGACAUCUAGGGAACCUUGCGGAAACGCAGGGGUGCCUUCGGGAACCCUAAGACAGGUGGUGCACGGUUGUCGUCAGCUCGUGUCGUGAGAUGUUGGGUUAAGUCCCGCAACGAGCGCAACCCUCGUUGUCUGUUGCUACAGGGAGCAAUCUGCUGAGCACUCAGGCGAGACUGCCGGUGAUAAACCGGAGGAAGGUGGGGACGACGUCAAAUCAUCAUGCCCCUUAUGUCCAGGGCUACACACGUGUUACAAUGGGCCGGACAGCGGGUUGCAAGCUGGCAACAGCAAGCUAAUCCCUAAAACCUGCCCUCAGUUCGGAUUGGAGUCUGCAACUCGACUCCAUGAAGUCGGAAUCGCUAGUAACCGCGGAUCAGCUACGCCGCGGUGAAUACGUUCCCGGGCCUUGUACACACCGCCCGU